rnacentral:rRNA from 1 species
GGGUCAGUAGGUUGGUCGUGCCACCGGUACGUACUGGUCUCACUGAUUCCUCCUUCCUGAAGAAUCGUAAUGCCAUUAAUUUGGUGUUGCGGGGAAACAGGACUGUUACUUUGGAAAAAUUAGAGUGUUUAAAGCAAGCUAACGCUUGAAUACAUUAGCAUGGAAUAAUGAAAUAGGACGAUCGAUCCUAUUUUGUUGGUUUCUAGGAUUGACGUA